rnacentral:misc_RNA from 1 species
GAUAAGAACGCAGUGAAAUGCGAUACUUGGUGUGAAUUGCAGAAUCCCGUGAACCAUCGAGUCUUUGAACGCAAGUUGCGCCCGAAGCCGUCAGGCCGAGGGCACGCCUGCCUGGGCGUCACACGCCGUUGCCCCCCCGCGCCCCGCACCCAACUCUUUGGGAGCGACCGCGGGGCGGGCUGAUGAUGGCCUCCCGUGCGCUCCGCCGCGCGGUUGGCCCAAAUACCGAGUCCCCGGCGACGUGCGCCACGACGAUCGGUGGUUGAGAGACCUCUGUCGCAAGUCGUGCGCGCCCGUCGCGUCACGCGGGCUCGCAUAGCGCCUCGCGCCGCACCCGGUGCGGAGCUUUCAACGCGACCCCAGGUCAGGCGGGGUUACCCGCUGAAUUUAAGCAUAUCAAUAAGCGGAGGA